ACUUAUCUUCUCCUUGAUGCACGCGUGUUAGAGUGCAUAAGUAUCCCUGUUCAUUUACUUAAUGGAUUUCAAUGGGCCUAUAUAUAUAAUCUCCCUCUAGUAGUUGCAUUUACUCAUUUGUUGGAAGUAGAGGAUUUUUCUCAAAUUAGUGCUAUGUACUUUUUCCACGGGAUCAGUAUUAUUUAUUAAUAUGUUCCGGCAGUGCAAAUUUCUAUGAAUUAAUUGAUGGAGCAUAUAGCGUCCUCUAUUAUGUUUUUGUUAGGCUCUCAAAAUUUGGAAGGGAGCAGAAGUAUGACAGGAUUUGCUCAUUACGAUAUUGUUCUGAUUUGUAGGGAAAGCUGAUCUAUUUGAAUAUUUGUGUGAAUGAUUACGUAAACAAGAUCUUCAAGAUGGAGUUUUUUUUUUUCUUAACUGUAUUUAUGAGAAUGUUUGGACUUUCAGAGUGUUGUUUUUAUUAGUUGACGGAAUUCAGUUUCUAACUUAAGAUUGUUUGUACAGAGAAUUUUCUUGCACUAUGAUUUUCCAA